AUAAACCUGUAGAGGUGACUGGAGACCAGUAGAGGUGACUGGAGACCAGUAGAGGUGACUGGAGACCAGUAGAGGUGACUGGAGACCAGUAGAGGUGACUGGAGACCAGUAGAGGUGACUGGAGACCGGUAGAGGUGACUGUAGACCGGUAGAGGUGACUGUAGACCUGUAGAGGUGACUGGAGACCUGUAGAGGUGACUAUAAACCUGUAGAGGUGACUGGAGACCAGUAGAGGUGACUGGAGACCAGUAGAGGUGACUAUAAACCUGUAGAGGUGACUGGAGACCAGUAGAGGUGACUGGAGACCAGUAGAGGUGACUGGAGACCAGUAGAGGUGACUGGAGACCAGUAGAGGUGACUGGAGACCUGUAGAGGUGACUGGAGACCUGUAGAGGUGACUGGAGACCUGUAGAGGUGACUGGAGACCUGUAGAGGUGACUGUAGACCUGACUGUAGACCAGUAGAGGUGACUGGAGACCAGUAGAGGUGACUGGAGACCAGUAGAGGUGACUGGAGACCUGUAGUGGAGACCAGUAGAGGUGACUGGAGACCAGUAGAGGUGACUGGAGACCUGUAGAGGUGACUGGAGACCUGUAGAGGUGACUGGAGACCUGUAGAGGUGACUGGAGACCUGUAGAGGUGACUGGAGACCUGUAGAGGUGACUGUAGACCUGACUGUAGACCAGUAGAGGUGACUGGAGACCAGUAGAGGUGACUGGAGACCAGUAGAGGUGACUGGAGACCAGUAGAGGUGACUGGAGACCAGUAGAGGUGACUGUAGACCGGUAGAGGUGACUGUAGACCUGUAGAGGUGACUAUAAACCUGUAGAGGUGACUAUAAACCU